UACGUAGGGUGCAAGCGUUAAUCGGAAUUACUGGGCGUAAAGCGUGCGCAGGCGGUUUGGUAAGACAGAUGUGAAAUCCCCGGGCUUAACCUGGGAAUUGCAUUUGUGACUGCCCGGCUAGAGUUUGGCAGAGGGGGGUAGAAUUCCACGUGUAGCAGUGAAAUGCGUAGAGAUGUGGAGGAACACCGAUGGCGAAGGCAGCCCCCUGGGCCAAUACUGACGCUCAUGCACGAAAGCGUGGGGAGCAAACAGG
rnacentral:rRNA from 1 species